GACGAACGCUGGCGGCGUGCUUAACACAUGCAAGUCGAACGAAGAGCGAUGGAAGCUUGCUUCUAUCAAUCUUAGUGGCGAACGGGUGAGUAACGCGUAAUCAACCUGCCCUUCAGAGGGGGACAACAGUUGGAAACGACUGCUAAUACCGCAUACGAUCUGACCUCGGCAUCGAGGAUAGAUGAAAGGUGGCCUCUACAUGUAAGCUAUCACUGAAGGAGGGGAGUGCGUCUGAUUAGCUAGUUGGAGGGGGAACGGCCCACCAAGGCGAUGAUCAGUAGCCGGUCUGAGAGGAUGAACGGCCACAUUGGGACUGAGACCCGGCCCAGACUCCUACGGGAGGCAGCCGUGGGGAAUCUUCCGCGAUGGACGAAAGUCUGACGGAGCAACGCCGCGUGAGUGAUGACGGCCUUCGGGUUGUAAAGCUCUGUUAAUCGGGACGAAAGGCCUUUUUGCGAAUAGUGAGAAGGAUUGACGGUACCGGAAUAGAAAGCCACGGCUAACUACGUG
rnacentral:rRNA from 1 species